rnacentral:rRNA from 1 species
GUUUGAUCCUGGCUCAGGACGAACGCUGGUGGCGGGCCUAACACAUGCAAGUCGAACGAGGAUUUCCGGUGACUGCCCUGGAGAGUGGAGUAGCGAAGCGGUGAGUGAUACCUGAGAGACCUGGCUAGAAGAACGACACGACCUACGCAAAGUGAGGAUAAUAUGACAUAUGCCCGCCGAGUGCGCAUGACUUGCCAAGAAAAUACUCACGUGCUCCCAGACGGUCUCAUGCCCUAUCAGCUUGUUGCUGAGGUAGAAGCUCACCACGGCUCACACGGGUAGCUGGUCUGAGAGGACGAACAGCCACACUGGGGCUGAGACACCUGACAGACUCCUACGACACGCAGCAGAGGGGAAUCUUGCGCAAUGGGCGAAAGGCUGACGCAGACACGCCACGUGCGGCACGACGGCCCUCGAGCCGUAACACACUUUCAGCAGUGACGAAAAGGACGAUACCUGCAGAAGCAGCCCCGGCUCACUACUGACAGCACCCGCAGAGACACGUCGGCUACCAGCGUUGCCCGGAACUACUGAACACAAAGGGCUCGUAGGUGGUUUCGGAUGACUGAUGCGAAAGCUGCGGGCUCAACUUGCAGACGUCAUCUGAUACUACCAUGACUAGAGCUUCGGACAUGAGNGAGAAUCUGCCGACUAGCAGACAAAUGCAGCUAUUCGAUACUAGUACAGUCAGCGAAGGCGCACUCU